GACGAACGCUGGCGGCGUGCUUAACACAUGCAAGUCGAACGGUAAGGCCCUUCGGGGUACACGAGUGGCGAACGGGUGAGUAACACGUGGGUGAUCUGCCCUGCACUUCGGGAUAAGCCUGGGAAACUGGGUCUAAUACCGGAUAGGACCACUGCCUGCAUGGGUGGGGGUUGUAAGCUUUUGCGGUGUGGGAUGGGCCCGCGGCCUAGCAGGUUGUUGGUGGGGUGAUGGCCUACCAAGGCGACGACGGGUAGCCGGCCUGAGAGGGUGACCGGCCACACUGGGACUGAGAUACGGCCCAGACUCCUACGGGAGGCAGCAGUGGGGAAUAUUGCACAAUGGGCGCAAGCCUGAUGCAGCGACGCCGCGUGAGGGAUGACGGCCUUCGGGUUGUAAACCUCUUUCAGCACCGACGAAGCGCAAGUGACGGUAGGUGCAGAAGAAGGACCGGCCAACUACGUGCCAGCCGCCGCAGUAA
rnacentral:rRNA from 1 species